ACUCAAAUGAAUUGACGGGGGCCCGCACAAGCAGCGGAGCAUGUGGUUUAAUUCGACGCAACGCGAAGAACCUUACCUGGGCUUGACAUGUGAGUGACAGCCGUGGAAACACGGUCUCCCUUCGGGGCACUUUCACAGGUGGUGCAUGGCUGUCGUCAGCUCGUGUCGUGAGAUGUUGGGUUAAGUCCCGCAACGAGCGCAACCCCCGUCGCAUGUUGCCAGCAUUUAGUUGGGGACUCAUGCGAGACUGCCGGUGACAAACCGGAGGAAGGCGGGGAUGAGGUCAAGUCAUCAUGCCCCUUAUGUCCAGGGCUACACACGUGCUACAUUGGCGCGUACAAAGGGCUGCGAUACCGCGAGGUGGAGCGAAUCCCUUAAAGCGCGUCUCGGUUCGGAUUGCAGGCUGAAACUCGCCUGCAUGAAGGCGGAGUUGCUAGUAAUCGUGGAUCAGCAAUGCCACGGUGAAUACGUUCCCGGGCCUUGUACACACCGCCCGU
rnacentral:rRNA from 1 species